CAUUGUGCAAAAGUAUUUUAUUUACAAAUGGCACAACGUGACAGUCAACGUGCAUGCACACCCAUCCGACCAACGUUUCAUUCAAGCGAGUGCCUCGAACGCUGAAUCUUAAACGGCCUGAUCUUGGAAGGCGGCAGGCCAGAUAGUUCCGCAGAUAGCGUCGUCCCGAACGGCUUUCUGCUCCUCAUAUAGAGCGCCGCUUCGGACCAGAACCUCUAUUAUGUGCACUACAUUGAGAACACUUCAGACAAGUAGAUUCUCCCACCGGAGCAAGUGGGCAAGUAUUGCCCAAGAGAGAACAGCGACUCGUAACUGUACCGAGGUCAAGGACGAGGUUGAGGUGAAGUAGAGUAUACACAGCCCGGAUGGUCUCUACGAGAGCCCAUGUCACAUAUAUUCACGGUGACAUGUCUAGCUAGUGAACGUCAACGUAACUCUGGCUACUUUAAAACCGAUGCAUCAACACAAAGAACAGAUUUUGACAGUGGAGGAAAAGGGAGUCAAGUUUCGUCGUGUUGACAACAUUAUGCUAAGCUGUUAGCAUGAAAACACAAACAAUGUAGACAUUGGGUCGGGGUAGGAAAUGUCCUUAGGCGUGACAGAUAAAGUACAACAGGUCCAAAAUAUUUACGGUCUCCCUCCUAUAGAUAGUAAUAGGCUACCGUAGUUUGCAGUCAGAUAAUAUCAAAGACAGCUUCCUGCAGGCAGCAAUAUUUCUGCAGGCAGCAGUAUUUCUGCAGGAUUUCACUAUAUUCGCAAAAUAUUACUUCUCUAAAUAAAUGUACAUAAUAUGGUAACAAAAAAAAUAUGAUUAAUGACAGGCCCAGUAGAAAGAGACUGUCCGAAUUCACUGCCUUGUCUUUUAUUAUUGGCUACAUCCCAAGAAUACUUAAACAGACCUCUCAGUAAAACGUUCAAGCGACAUCAUGAUGUUCAAACAAUGAAGGGUUGAGGGGAUACUUCUGGAUUUUGGAAUCGUCAACUUCUCCAGAGACUAAUUAAUAUUCAGUCUCUGUGUUAAAAGGAUACUGCAAACUAGAGCUACAGUAACAGCUACCUUUCACUUGUAUUGACACAGGACAGAGAGACAUACAAAUCAGAGACACAUUAUUGUAAAGCAGAUGAAUAGCUUCACUGCCAAAAAAAAAACAAGGUAUCUCCUUAAGGCAAAUGGGAAGGAAAGGAAUUGGAACAGACUCGGAGAAAGAGAGAGAACAAGGGGAAUAAUGGAAUGGUAACAACAGAACAGGAAAAAGUUCCCAAGCAUCGGUAGUCCCGUCAGCCGGCCAGCUUGCUGGCUACAAUGGAGGGCUUCCUCUGAGGGAUGUCCUGGGGUGUGGGGAUGUGGUCCCCGGUGAUCUCCGCCUUCUCCGCCUGGGUUACCGCGGGCAGCUGCUGCUUGUUCUUCACCUUGGCCUUGGCCAUGUUGUAGUCCCCGGAGUCAAAAUACUUUUGCUGCAGGAAGACGCGAAAAUCACAGGUUGGAUUGGUUUUAAUUACAAGGUGUUAUGUCACAGGAUCACACUACGGACAUUGUCAAGCUGCUCCAAAAACACUGAAUACAAGAAAACAGCCAUACCAUUCAAAGAGGUGAUACGACUAGGAACAAUUGCCCUGAUUUCUUAUUUCUAUACUUACGUAAGGCUGAACCCAGGAACAAUAACUGGGCCAAAAUGUUUACUUUAAAUGGUACGAAAGCAUGUGACAGUGCAUUAGCCUGAAGUUAUUUUGUUAAAAGCCAAUAAACUGGCGUGGUGAUUCAUUCAAGUUAAUGCACAAAAAUAUAACAUGACUCAAGUCAUUUAGCGUUAGAAUUACCAACUGCUUUUAAAGACAGACUUCCUGUAAAGUCUGACAUGGUUGUAGCACACUGAGGAAUCUUGGACCUCUCCUCCAUACAGAUUUGAUCCUUGAUAGUCUUAAAUUAGAACUUGUGGACUGCCUUUAAUUCAGACCACAGGUUUUCAAGGAAUUUUGUGGACCCACAAUUGUUGAUUUUGAGGUAUGUUUGGGGAUAUUGUCUUGUGGAAAGGUAAAUUCACUGCCUGAAUUUCCAGGCAUAAACAAACAGACGGUGGGUUAAAAUAUCCUGUUGUCGGUGAAAACUUUUUUGCUAUCAAUCUAAACAAAAGCCCUGGACCACUAACAGCAAAACAUCUCCAAAGCAUCCAUGAUCCACCACCAUAUUUUACUGUGGAUAUCAGUUGCUUUUCCAUGUAUACAGUCCCCUUUUAAUCUGCAACCACACCAAUGGUAAGCAUGGCCAAAAAGUUAAAUGUCUGUGUCAUCUGACAAAACAAUUCCAGUUGUAGUUCAAAUAACGUUUGGCAAAGUAUAAGCACUACAAUUUGUGGGUUAGGCUCAAUAAGGGCAUGAAACGCUUCCUAAGAGCUUGUUGAGGUGGCGUCUAACAGUUGACUCUGAGACCCGAUAAACCCCUGAUUCUGCCUCCCUCACCAUGUUUCUCACCACGCGUGAGGGCAACAUGCACAUCAGUCCUCUUCUUGGCAAAUCUUUUCCAAACUUCUGAAAUCUUUUGAUUAUUGUCCUGACUAUACAUGGUUUUUAAACUGUUAAUGGAUAUUUUAACACCCUUCACCAGAUCUGUGUAGGUCAAAACCCAUCAGUCUAUUUUGAGAAGAAAUCUUGUUUUACCCAUCGUAACAGAUGACAAAGGGAUUUUAUAUGCAUAUGACCUCAUAUUUAUUCCCCAGGGAAACAGGAGACAUUGAAAGGCAUCAAUGCAGUUCCUGGGGACAGAACAACUAAAAAGCAUAGUUUCAUAACAGACCACUUUGAUUUCAUUUUAAAUAUUCUUUAGGGGUGCCAAUACUUUUGAAAGUUGCUUUGCAUAAGAAAAGUACUACUCAAUUAUUAGUUUUGUUUUUUUAGUGUUUUUUACCAAUUUUUUUGCAUUCACUUUUGCGCAAUUUCAUGAAAUGUGCCAACACCUGAGUUGACUGGCCAGCCAACUAAAGCCAAGGCAACAAUAUAGCUCAGGUCUUGGAGUGUGUAACACGUAUAACCAACACCCACUGACACACCCCGAUAAUAUUUCCAGAUAAUAGGCCCAUAAUGUGCCUGUAGACACUGCCACACUGUUCAGUCUUAUUACAUUUAUUCUUCAUGUGAGCAAACAACACCUGCAAGUUUCAGAAACUCAGUUGAAGCCUACACUAACACUGCUGUGUCUUUCUCCACAACAAGUGCUUACUGCACCUAAUGACAUGAACGGUGUAAGUCACACAAUAAUAGCUUACGGCAGGGCUGCCCAACUCAGUUCCAGGAGAUCUACUGCCCUUUAGGUUCUCUCCCCAACUCUAAUUUAGCACACCUGAUUCUUAUAAUUAGAUGGAUGAAAUGCUAAAUCAGGUUGGACACAAAUGGGGUUCAAGAGAAACCCUACAGGACAGUAGAUGUCUAGGAACAGGGUUGGGCAGCCCUGACAUAAUUGGUCUCAAAAUAAAUAAAGAGAGGCGUAAGCUAGAAUUUGGACUAAUUACCAUUACAAUUAUUAUUAGUAGGCUAUAGAGCAAUUAUUCAUGCUCCUGACCAUUGCUCCAAUCAGAUCUAGCUCCUUAUUACAAAAUACACUGGCUGGCCAGCAAUUUCUAUUACCCUUAUUCGGUUAGUCCACUAACAAUGUUUGUAGUACAUUUUAUUAUGUUUAUAAACAAAACUAUUGUCUAAAAUCUCUGUUGGUCAGUGGGGUACCCAUUUUCAUACCCAAAGGCCACCAAUCAUAAUCAGACAAAUACAGUAGGUCUGAUUGAACCCAGGAUAUCUGGUCCUUUUCGGAUCUGUGAAGACCUCAAACACACCCCUUUCUGUAGCCGUUUUCUGAGCAGGUCGGAUCCCCCAGGUUUUGCUCCAAGAUGAGGGUACCUGGCCUUCAGUUUGACCUCUUCUGCUUUCUCUGGGCUGAUGAUCUUAUCAUCCAUCUCCUAUGUAAACAACAUGCAACACAGUCUCAGCACAGUCUCAGCACAGUUGAUGGGCGUGAAGUGACAUACUAUCACAGAUCAAGCAGCGACAGAGUAGAUUCUGUCAAUCUCUAGAUUGACAUGUCACGGUUAGGAUGGCAAAC
ensembl:lncRNA